UUGAGGACAAUGCAUGAUUUAGGUAUGGGGAGGGCUUUAGUGUAAUUCUUAAAAAAUGAAAAACCCUAAAAAAAUGAAAAAUUAGAAAAAUCCAAAAAUAGAGAUACUUUUAGCUAAGUUGUCUUUCCCUCACUUGAACUUUAGGAGUAGUUGGUGUUAGCUUGUUUUCAAAAAGUAUAUAUAUGUAAUGUCUUUUUGAUAAUUUGAACGUAGUUAAGUAAGGUUGUCUUUUUGAAACUUGUAUCGACCGAUUUGUACUCUAAAUUCCAAGAU
rnacentral:lncRNA from 1 species